rnacentral:tRNA from 1 species
GGGCUCGUAGCUCAACUGAAUAGAGCAUCUGACUACGGAUCAGAAGGUUAGGGGUUUGAAUCCCUUCGAGCCCAC